rnacentral:pre_miRNA from 1 species
AUCAUCUGGGAAUCUUGUUAAAAUGCAGAUUUAGAUUUAGCUGGGGCCUCUGAUUUUUUAUUUCUAAUAAGUUCCCAAGUGAUGCUGA